UACAGAGGGUGCGAGCGUUGUCCGGAAUCACUGGGCGUAAAGGGCGCGUAGGCGGCUUGAUAAGCGUGCGGUGAAAGCCCGGGGCUCAACCCCGGGUCGGCCGUGCGAACUGUCGAGCUGGAGCACUGUAGAGGCAGGUGGAAUUCCGGGUGUAGCGGUGGAAUGCGUAGAGAUCCGGAAGAACACCGGUGGCGAAGGCGGCCUGCUGGGCAGUGGCUGACGCUGAGGCGCGAUAGCGUGGGGAGCGAACAGG
rnacentral:rRNA from 1 species